rnacentral:lncRNA from 1 species
GGGAGGCGGCCUGUGACAACAUAGGAGGAGCUUGACGCCUUAGAAGACGGGUCAUGUCCAACAUGCCGGCGCCAAGCGCACGGUGGCUGCGGAAGAGGAGAGGGGUGGUGGCGGCGCUACUAGGCUAGAGGUUCCGACAGGGAGGUGGUUCACGGGGGGUUUCAAUCUGACAAGGUAUUUCAUGCUCUUCCUGCACUAUGACAUGGUUACUAUGGCUCCCAGGUAUGUUACCCAACUCCCUAAUUUCACUUGUUCUUUUUUAAUUAACUUACACACACGUCAUGAAAAAUCAUGUUGAUUAGUGCAGACAAAUUCUUUUUUGCACAUAGCUAAGCUUUUGAGUAGUAUAGAAAUAAUCUUAAUUCAUGUUCAUGUUCAUGUUUCAUUGGAGGCUGCAAAACUGGCUCCAACACCUGUGCUGCUAGCUGUCACUUGUCAAUGACCAAUGCAAAAAUGAAAGGGAGACUUGUUGUAAUUUGAAAGGUGCAUGUGCUUGGACUGUUUUUUGUUUCUUCUUGUGACUUCUCAAGCUUGCCAUAUGUUAUUGUUCUAACUACAUCACACUUCUAAGUGAAUAGCAGGAAAAUAAGCUAGCAAAAUAAUACUGAUUUGUUUGGAUACUAAUUGCUAACAAUACACUUGCAAAAUAAAUAAAUAAUGUUUUGCCACAUGUUUGCAAGCAGGAAAAUAGUUCACGUGAAGAGUAACACCAGGGCGUUGGUAUAAGUUGUGCCUGGAAUAUUUGGCAAGUCACUUCCGAAAUUUAAAUAGCAGUAUUUACAUGAGCAAAGGAAAAAUAAGUUAUAUGGACUCCAAGGCCAUCAUUUCCGCCUUCUCAAUUCUCAUCUAUCACCCACAGUUUUAUGUUAGUU